AGUGAACGUUGGCGGCGUGGAUUAGGCAUGCAAGUCGAGCGAGAACCGUAGCAAUACGGGGACAGCGGCGAAAGGGACAGUAAUGUGUAGGUACCUACCUCCGGGUUCGGGAUAGCUGCGGGAAACUGCAGGUAAUACCGAAUAACGUCUCCGGACCAAAGGUGUGAUUCCACCUGGAGAGGGGCCUGCAUCCUAUUAGCUUGUUGGCGGGGUAACGGCGCACCAAGGCGACGAUGGGUAGCGGGUGUGAGAGCACGACCCGCGUCAUUGGGAAUGGGACACGGGCCAGACACCUACGGGUGGCUGGAGUCGUGAAUCGUCGGCAAUGGGCGCAAGCCUGACCGAGCGACGCCGCGUGCGGGAUGAAGGCCUUCGGGUUGUAAACCGCUGUCGUAGAGGAGGAAAUGCAGGGGGGUUCUCCCCUCUGUUUGACCUAUUCUAGGAGGAAGUACGGGCUAAGUUCGUGCCAGCCGCCGCGGUAA
rnacentral:rRNA from 1 species